UUUACUGGCGGUAAUGUGAGCACGAUAUGCCGGCCAAAAAGCUUGGUUUCUCGAUGAAUUAACGUGGGGUACCCAUAGGAACCGCUUCGGUCCUUACUAUGGGAGCAGCGUGUGCGCGCAUAAUUGAAGGUGAAAGCGAUCGAGCCAUGGUGGCUUUACCGGCGGUAAUGUGAGCACGACAUGCCGGCCAAAAAUCUUGGUUUCUCGAUGAAUUAACGUGGGGUACCACUAGGUAUCGCUUCGGUUCUUACUAUGAGGGCAGCGCGUGUGCGCGCAUAAUUGAAGGUGAAAGCGAAAGCGAUCGAGCCUUGGUGGCUUUAGUGGCGGUAAUGUGAGCAAGAUAUGACGGCCAAAUAGCUUGGUUUCUCGGUGAAUUAACGUGGGGUACCCGUAUAGAGGUCCGCGCGUGCGCGCAUAAUUAAAGGUGAACCGUGCAUGAAUGCGCAUGAAUGGAUUAACGAGAUUCCUGAUGUCCCUAUCUACUAUCUAGCGAAACCACAGGCAAGGAUAGGACUUGGCAGAAUUAGAUUGAUUUUGAUCUUCAGUAUGAAUACAGACCGCGAAAGCGUGGAAAGUAUGAAUACAGACCGCGAAAGCGUGGCCUAUCGAUCCUUUUUUGAACUCGCGAGUUUCAAGGAAGUGGUGCCAGAAAAUUUACCACAGUGAUAACUGGCUUGUGGCAGCAAAGCGUUCAUAGCGACGUUGCCUUUUGAUCCUUGGACGGAGUAGGAUAGGAUAGGAUAUGCAUGUUUAUCCCCGUGAAUGGGAAAACCCCAGGGGUUAUCACACGGGCAAUCGUCAGAUCACCUCGCGCCCAUCGUCGGGUUACCGGACCUAUUGCAGUGUGUUGUAUGUGAUAGACACGUUCCUUCAAUUUGGUAGAACCCAUUAAUCCGCUGGGUUCAGGCAAUGUCCGUAAAGUGCCUUGCCCAAGGACACAACCGAC
rnacentral:ncRNA from 1 species